rfam:Brachypodium distachyon strain Bd21 chromosome 1, whole genome shotgun sequence.
AAUAUACUCCCUCCGUACCAUAAUUCUUGUCGAAAUUUGAGACAAGAACAAGAAUGUAUCUAGACACUUUUUAGGAAUAGAUGCAUCCAUUUUUGGGCAAAUUUGAGACAAGAAUUAUGGAACGGAGGUAGUAGUAU